GGCCCCAUCGUCCAGCGGUCAGGAUCUGCGACUUUCAAUCGCGAGAGGGCGGGUUCGACUCCCCCUGGGGCCA
rnacentral:tRNA from 1 species